CCUUGUCAAACUGCGUGCUCCGACAUACCUGGUUGCAAGCAAAUACCAAUAGAUUUUAUAAUUAAUCCUGACGACCCGUUCAAUGAACCUGUCCACUUUCGGCCGCUCUUCACCACACUGUUUUUGGACGAGGUCGAGCAGCAUGUCGUCUUUGCUGCCAGACGAACUUGAAGAAUGCUCAUCGAUUGCGGCAACUAGCAGCGCUUCCUUUCUCAUUGUCGACAAAUCCACUAGCUAACUCCGUCAACUCCGUUGCAACGUACCGCAGCUAUCGGGCCAGAGCGUCCGCGGUUCUGCAGUCGGCAGUACGCGCGCGUCGCGCGUCCCGCAGUGCUUGCUGGGAUUGCACUCCGGCGCACCGCCGAUUUUCGCGGUGCGAGACGGGGCAACGGAAAACUGCUCCAACAGGGUGCGCUUCCGGUGAUCGAGGAUGGUCAGUGCGCACCGGUGCGGUUGAUCGAGGAUGAAAGUGCGCACCAAGGCGCCCCGGUGCGCACCGGUGCGGGUGAUCGAGGACGCUAUUAGUUUCCUUCCUCCGUGAUCGCCCCCGAGGGCUCCGUGGUCGCUGCGCAUGCGUUAGUUGAGAGAAGGUGAGAAAGGAGGACAAGUUGGCUUUACCGGAUGUGACGUCACAUUGUUGUUUGUUUUUGCUUUUAUGAAAUAACUACUCUCGAACUCAGACGGCAUGGCUCGCGUCUCGUUCGCGCGCGUACGUAUGGAUGUGGUCCGCUUUUAGUUUUUGGCGAAUGCUUAAUGGAUGUGGUCCGCUUUUAGUUUUUGGCGAAUGCUUAUUCAAGUUGCGGACGCUGCGGUGGGCCAGGGCUUGAUGACAUUUGUUGCCCAGUUGCUGGUGCUACCGCGACGUACUUGGAACAACGCUUCUGCUUAUUUCCUCUGCCUGCACCUUAUAUUUGUUGUGUUUAUCGAGACCUGGCCUGUCUCUGGCUCGUUGAAGACAAAUGGACACAAGUACUGGUUGCUGUUGGUUUGUUUGGUUUGCUCAGUCUGAGCGUGCACGCCAAAAGCCGAUGCGUCUUGCAACCAUUCGCCAGACUUCCCACUACUGCUGCAACGCCAACGUGUGAAGAUCAACCCACACAGCAGCAUGCGUAGCCAUCGGAGGAUGUGGUGCAAAUCAUUGACGUGAACUGGAUGCGAUGGCGCCUGCAUUUCUGUUUGCCUAUCCCUGAUGCUACAGCAUUUUCAGUCCCCUUCUUACAAGCCAUCAUUCACCAGGAACUUGAAAACAUUGGCUUACAUUCUGUCUGUGCUAUUGCCAAUCCCAGAGCUAACAAACGCCCUUCUACUAUUUUUGCUCCACCCCGACGCUUCUCUCCGCGUUAUCGCAACCCGACUGAGUAGAGAACUGCCGAUAUGUUUCACCUGCUGCCGCAUUGGUCAUGUCGCCUGAUACUGUCAGAGACCUGGAUUCGAGACCUGUUCAGAGACCUGGAUUGGGAAGAAUUGGGGAUAAGAGUUAGUGAAUAAUACCUUAGUUACUUGCGAUUCGCUGAUGAUAUUGCCUUGCUUAGUAACUCAUGGGACCAAUUGCAAUGCAUGCUCACUGACCCGGAGAGGCAAAGCAGAAUGGUAGGUCUGAAAAUUAAUCUGCAGAAAACUAAAGUAAUUUUUAACAGCCUAGGAAGAGAACAGCAGUUUACGAUAGGUAGCUAGCACUGGAAGUGGUAAGGGAAUACAUCUACUUAGGGCAGGCAGUGACCGCGAGUCCGGAUCAUGAGACCGAAAUAAUCGGAAGGAUAAGAAUAGGCUGGGGUGCGUUUGGCAGGCAUUCUCAGAUCAUGAACAGCAGGUUGCCAUUAUCCCUGAAGAGAAAAGUGUAUAACUGGUGUGUCUUACCAGUGCUCACCUACGGGGCAGAAACCUGGAGGCUUACAAAAAGGGUUCUACUUAAACUGAGGACGACACAUCGAGCUAUGGAAAGAAGAAUGAUGGGUGUAACGUUAAGGGGAUAAGAUGAGAGCAGAUUCGGUGAGGGAACAAACGCGAGUUAAUGAUAUCUUACUUGAAAUCAAGAAAAAUGGGCAUGGGCUGGGCAUGUAAUGAGGAGGGAAGAUAACCGAUGGUCAUUAAGGGUUAUGGACUGGAUUCCAAGAGAGGGGAAGCGUAGCAGGGGGCAGCAGAAAGUUAGGUGGGCGGAUGAGAUUAAGAAGUUUGCAGGGACAGCAUGGCCACAAUUAGCGCAUGACCGGGGUAGUUGCUGUUUAUUCAAGCAUUUUGCAAAUGUGGCUUGCUUCUAAGCACUUCUUCUUAUCUCUAAAGAAAAACAGAAAUGAACAUCCAGUAUUCUUUUUUAACUUUCACUAAGCUUAUCGUAUAGCUCAGUGUUAACAUACAGGUUAACAUACAGUAUUUACAGGUGAGGUUACAGAAAGCAGUAAUAAUUGACAGUAAACACUGCUUGGGUGGUGAAAAACAUGGGAAUCAGGUCAUUUUAUUUUCGACAGUUUUUUUUUUGCAUAGGAGGCUAAGCAAAUGGUGAUGUAGCAACACUGUAAAGACUGAAUAAGAUGGAUGUGGAAUGCCUUGAUGACUUCUUUUUCUGUUUUUUAUUUUGUCUUCGAAAGGAAUUUAUUCUGUCCCAGAUAAGGGAGGCAGCUUUUGCAUCUGCAACAGAACAUUGGUGGAUGUUGUGUGAAGCACUUUCUCCAUGCUUUUUCACUACCUGAGCAAGGUAACUUUCUUGGUGCUUCAUCACGCAAUUUAUACAAUCAACUUCCAUUAAUUCUACCCUCACGAGACUGACGGGUCGAAUUAAGAUGCAAAAACCUGCUGAAGCACCGUUGAUUCAUUUGGCAAUAUGUGCUUGAGUAACACGCCUCUGAAAUGAAUGUGCAUCAAAUUUCUAUUUGUCCACAGUAUAAAACUAAAGUAGAAAUGACUUAACUCCAAACCAAAGUAGAAACCUACGCGUACCUCAUUCUUUAGAAUGCCAGCUGAUUUUCCAAAGCCAGCUUCGCCGUAUUACAGCCAUGAUAUGUGGUAAAGCAUAUGAAUGGUGCAACCACGGUUUUAGUUUCGCAAUCGAUUGCACAGCUAGGCAAUUUUCGUCUCAAUGUCCUUCGAAAACAAAAAGUGUUCGUUAGAAUCAGAUAAGUACCACGAUCGGACAUUGUCAGCUACCGUUACUGCUUGAAAAUCUUUCUCGGGUGGGUCAAAAAUAGGCAUUUGAGAGAGAUGGCAUUUGUUUAACGCAUUCACUGUCCCCUAAGCUCUACUGAGACAUGGGCUGCCACUAAAAGGGGUCAUUAUUGGGGUCUGGUCAAGUUCGCAUUAUCCGGCGAAUGCCAGUUUUAGGAUCGAAAUGAUGAAUGUUUAAUUCCAUAGAAAUGCAUGGGCGUCGGCCAGGUUUGAAUUAACUGAAAAAAUUAAAUUAACCGGAGUCAGAUUAUUGGAAGUUUACUAUACACCCUUUUCUGUUCUCCAAGAAGUUGCCAUUUUAAUAUGUAGUUUUCUUCUAUCAGUGUGGCAAUGGUGCUAAAUUUAGCAUUUGUUUGAAUCAUCCAUUGUUCCAAGGACAAGCUACAAAGUAGGGGCACACUUUGAGACUUGAAACAUUUCCACAUAUAAAGGCAGAGCAUGUUAACAUCUGUACAAUUAACAUAAGUUGGCUGUAUUGUCUGCAUAGCAUGUGGUUGCUUUUUUGGAAUGUGGUCUUUCUGUAAAACAAAGUUGCAUUUGUUUCAAAUAAAUUGCUGAACCAUU